UACAGUAUGAGAUCAUUUCUCAUCAUUCUGGUAAUAUAUUCUCUUAUUACUCAGGCAGGUCUGCCUUGAAAUGGAAAUGCUGGAAGAAGAAUACAAGCAGGAUUUGGUCUAUAACUUCCAGAUCACUGCUUGUUAUUCUUGAUACUGGCUUGGAAAAGGAGAUACGUUCCUAUAUAAUCGUGGACACACCAGUUUCCAAACAUCACCAGGGCAAUCUUUCUUGCUGCCAUGCUCUGUGCAGUUUUGCAACUGCUUCUCUUGUAGCAAAGGUGCAGGAGUUUCAGCAGGAGCUUCUCUUUGAAAAGGCUGCAGAAGAGGAGUCAACAUCUUGGGAUAUUUACUGAGUUCAGCUAUCUCAAGCCAGUAAAUUCUCCUGAAAAAAGAAGGAUGUUCAUCUCCUGCUUGUCUAUAUCUCUGUGACUGAGGUCUCAUAAACUAAAGGCUUCAGGCAGUUGUUCAUUUUCAAAAGGAAGGUGAACACCCAUGAGCUAGCUUCUUUAAUUUAGAUUGAUUUUGGUCUAAACUGUGAUGUUUGUAAGCAUGAUUACCAUUUAAGACUGCUGUCAUUUAGCCAGCAAACAAUGCACAUAACAACCACUUUGUACUUGUCAAAAACAACAUUCUGCUUUGGUUUGUUUGCUUUUUCCUCUUAAAUGUAAUGUUGUUUAAAAUAAAAGCUGUGCAUAUGGUAGUGAUAUAAUAAAU
rnacentral:lncRNA from 1 species